rnacentral:rRNA from 1 species
AGCGAACGCUGGCGGCAGGCCUAACACAUGCAAGUCGAACGAACUCUUCGGAGUUAGUGGCGGACGGGUGAGUAACACGUGGGAACGUGCCUUUUGGUUCGGAAUAACUCAGGGAAACUUGUGCUAAUACCGAAUGUGCCCUUCGGGGGAAAGAUUUAUCGCCAUUAGAGCGGCCCGCGUCUGAUUAGCUAGUUGGUGAGGUAACGGCUCACCAAGGCGACGAUCAGUAGCUGGUCUGAGAGGAUGACCAGCCACACUGGGACUGAGACACGGCCCAGACUACUACGGGAGGCAGCAGUGGGGAAUCUUGCGCAAUGGGCGAAAGCCUGACGCAGCCAUGCCGCGUGAAUGAUGAAGGUCUUAGGAUUGUAAAAUUCUUUCACCGGGGACGAUAAUGACGGUACCCGGAGAAGAAGCCCCGGCUAACUUCGUG